rnacentral:tRNA from 1 species
GCCGGGGUGGCCUAGCUGGUUAGGGCGCCAGACUCAUAAUCUGGAAGUCGCGGGUCCGAACCCCGCUCCCGGCA